AGCCAGACUCCUACGGGAGGCAGCAGUGGGGAAUAUUGCACAAUGGGGGAAACCCUGAUGCAGCGACGCCGCGUGAGUGAAGAAGUAUUUCGGUAUGUAAAGCUCUAUCAGCAGGGAAGAAAAUGACGGUACCUGACUAAGAAGCCCCGGCUAACUACGUGUCAGCAGCCGCGGUAAUACGUAGGGGGCAAGCGUUAUCCGGAUUUACUGGGUGUAAAGGGAGCGUAGACGGCAUGGCAAGUCAGAUGUGAAAGCCCGGGGCUCAACCCCGGGACUGCAUUUGAAACUGUCAGGCUGGAGUGCAGGAGAGGUAAGUGGAAUUCCUAGUGUAGCGGUGAAAUGCGUAGAUAUUAGGAGGAACACCAGUGGCGAAGGCGGCUUACUGGACUGUAACUGACGUUGAGGCUCGAAAGCGUGGGGAGCAAACAGGAUUAGAUACCCCAGUA
rnacentral:rRNA from 1 species